rfam:Triticum aestivum genome assembly, contig: Triticum_aestivum_CS42_TGACv1_scaffold_094451_2AL
UAUAUACUCCCUCCGCCCAAAAAUUUUGUCGUCUUAGAUUUGUCUAAAUACGGAUGUAUCAAUUGAUACUACAUAUGUAUUUAGACAAAUUUAAGACAAGAAUUUUGGGACGGAGGGAGUAUUAA